rnacentral:rRNA from 1 species
UACGUAGGUCGCAAGCGUUGUCCGGAUUUACUGGGCGUAAAGAGCGCGCAGGCGGCUGGUCAAGUCCGAUGUGAAAUCUCCCGGCUCAACUGGGAAACUGCAUCGGAAACUGAUCGGCUUGAAGAUGGGAGAGGGUAGUGGAAUUCCCGGUGUAGUGGUGAAAUGCGUAGAUAUCGGGAGGAACACCAGUGGCGAAGGCGGGUCUCUGGGCAACAACUGACGCUGAGGAGCGAAAGCGUGGGGAGCGAACAGG